rnacentral:lncRNA from 1 species
GGCUUUACAAGUAGUUUACAAACAAGUCGGUCAAACUAGAUAAAUUUCUUGAAUUUUACUGUACACAUGGCAAAUUUACUGUAUACAUAGCUAUUUACUUCUCUUAUUAGCAUACUUCUCUUAUUUCUUACCUCCUUUGGUGAGCAAAUUUAAAAUAGUCUAUGUACACAGCUACACAAUUAAAUAUUAGUUUCAGUCACAACAUAUUAAAUUCACAUUUAAAAUUAUAAAGAGAUCCAGAUUUUUCAGUCUUACACAUAAACUUUUAAUCUCACUUGAUGCUAUUUAUAUUAUUUUAUGGUGCCUUAUUAAAAUGAAAUCAGAGCACAAAAACCUAUAUCUCACAGGACACAUAACGGAAAAUAUUUAAAAUCUGUACUUACUACAUGACUCAAACCCACUCUUUUUGAAGGAGAGCCAAUUUUAAGAACUUAAAUAUACAGUCUGGAUAACAUAAAUCACUCUUUCCAUGCCCAAAACUUAACAGAUCUAGUAAAAUUUAUUAUAGACUAU